rnacentral:rRNA from 1 species
GAUGAACGCUGGCGGCGUGCUUAACACAUGCAAGUCGAACGGGAAACUUUCCAUUGAAGCUCCGGCAGAUUUGGUCUGUUUCUAGUGGCGGACGGGUGAGUAACGCGUGGGUAACCUGCCUUAUACAGGGGGAUAACAACCAGAAAUGGUUGCUAAUACCGCAUAAGCGCACAGGACCGCAUGGUCCGGUGUGAAAAACUCCGGUGGUAUAAGAGGGACCCGCGUUGGAUUAGCUAGUUGGCAGGGUAACGGCCUACCAAGGCGACGAUCCAUAGCCGGCCAGAGAGGGUGAACGGCCACAUUGGGACUGAGACACGGACCAGACUCCUACGGGAGGCAGCAGUGGGGAAUAUUGCAUAAUGGGGGAAACCCUGACGCAGCGACGCCGCGUGAAGGAAGAAGUAUCUCGGUAUGUAAACUUCUAUCAGCAGGGAAGAUAGUGACGGUACCUGACUAAGAAGCCCCGGCUAACUACGUGCCAGCAGCCGCCGCGG